AGUAUGCGUUCUUCUCAGUUUACACUAUUUCUCAAGAUCUUAUAAUAGUGGUCUUAUACAAUAUUUGUCCUUUUGCCUCUGACUAAUUUCGCUCAGCAUAAUGCCUUCCAGGUUCCUCCGUGUUAUGAAAUGUUUCACAGAUUCGUCACUAUUCUUUAUCGAUGCGUAGUAUUCCAUUGUGUGAAUAUACCACAAUUUAUUUAACCGUUCAUCCGUUGAUGGACACCUUGGUUGCUUCCAGGUUUUUGCUAUUGUAAACAGAGCUGCAAUAAACAUCGGUGUGCAUAUAUCUGUUUAUGUGAAGGCUCUUAUUUCUCCAGGGUAUAUUCCGAGGAGUGGGAUUUCUGGGUUGUAUGGUAGUUCUAUUUCUAACUGUUUAAGAUAACGCCAGAUAGAUUUCCAAAGUGGUUGUACCAUUUUACAUUCCCACCAGCAGUGUAUAAGAGUUCCAAUCUCUCCACAGCCUCUCCAACAUUUAUUAUUUUGUGUUUUUUGGAUUAAUGUGAGAUGGAAUCUCAUCGUAAUUUUAAUUUGCAUUUCUCUAAUGGCUAAUGAUCGAGAGCAUUUUCUCAUGUAUCUGUUAGCUGCCUGAAUAUCUUCUUUAGUGAAGUGUGUGUUCAUAUCCUUUGCCCACUUCUUGAUUGGGUUGUUUGUCUUUUUGUGGUUGAGUUUUAACAGAAUCAUGUAGAUUUUAGAGAUCAGGCGCUGGUCGGAGAUGUCAUAGCUGAAAAUUCUUUCCCACUCUGUAGGUGGUCUUUUUACUCUUUUGAUGAAGUCUUUAGAUGAGCAUAAGUGUUUGAUUUUUAGGAGCUCCCAGUUAUCUGUUUUCUCUUCGUCAUUUUUGGUAAUGUUUUGUAUUCUGUUUAUGCCUUGUAUUAGGGCUCUUAAGGUUGUCCCUAUUUUUUCUUCCAUGAUCUUUAUCGUUUUAUUCUUUAUGUUUAGGUCUUUGAUCCACUUGGAGUUAGUUUUUGUGCAUGGUGUGAGCUAUGGGUCCUGUUUCAUUUUUUUGCAAAUGUAUAUCCAGUUAUGCCAGCACCAUUUGUUAAAAAGACUAUCUUUUCCCCAAUUAACUGACACUGGGCCUUUGUCAAAUAUCGGCUGCUCUUAUGUGGAUGAAUUUAUAUCUGGGUUCUCAAUUCUGUUCCAUUGGUCUAUGUGUCUGUUGUUGUACCAGUACCAGGCUGUUUUGACUACUGUGGCUGUAUAGUAGGUUCUGAAAUCAGGUAGAGUGAGGCCUCCCACUUUCUUCUUUUUCAGUAAUGCUUUGCUUAUCCGGGGAUUCUUUCUCUUCCAUAUGAAAUUGGUGAUUUGUUUCUCCAUCACAUUAAAAAAUGACAUUGGAAUUUGGAUUGGAAGUGCAUUAUAUGUAUAGAUGGCUAUUGGUAGGAUGGACAUUUUUACUAUGUUAAGUCUUCCUAUCCGUGAGCAAGGUAUGUUUUUCCACUUAAGUAGGUCCUUUUUAGUUUCUUGUAGUAGUACUUUGUAGUUUUCUUUGUAUAGGUCUUUUACAUCUUUGGUAAGAUUUAUUCCUAAGCAUUUUAUCUUCUUGGGGGCUACUGUGAAUGGUAUUGAUUUGAUUAUUUCCUCUUUGAUGUUCUUUUUGUUGAUGUAGAGGAAUCCAAGUGAUUUUUGUAUGUUUAUCUUAUAACCUGAGACUCUGCCGAACUCUUGUAUUAGUUUCAGUAGUUUUCUGGAGGAUUCCUUAGGGUUUUCUGUGUAUAAGAUCAUGUCAUCUGCAAAUAGAGAUAAUUUUACUUCCUCCUUGCCAAUCCGGAUGCCCUUUAUUUCUUUGUCUAGUCUAAUUGCUCUGGCUAGGACCUCAAGCACAAUGUUGAAUAAGAGCAGUGACAAAGGGCAUCCUUGUAUGUUGUAUGCUUUUAAAAAAUUUGUGUUUUUUUAGAUGGUGCCUGGCUACCACCACCGACUACUCUGACAGGGAUCACGAUAGAGGGUCCCGGGCAGAGCUGGAGAAAAAUGUAAGACAAAAUUCUAACUCACAAAAAAGACCAGACUUACUGGCCUGACAGAGCCUGCAGAAACCCUGAGUACGGCCCCUGCACACCCUUUUAGCUCAAGAAAUGAAGUCACUCCUGAGGUUCACCCUUUACCCUUUACCUUUGGACAGACCCAUAAAGGGGCACACCAGCCCAGGGGCAAGGACUAGAAGGCAGGAGGGGACAGGAAAGCUGGUAAUACGGAACCCAAGUUCAAGAAGGGAGAGUAUUGACAUGUCGUGGGGUUGGUAACCAAUGUCGUAAAACAACAUGUGUACUGUUCAAUGAGAAGCAAGUUUCUUCUGUAAAUCAUCUAAAGUACAAUAAAUAAUUUGUAUUUUUUUUUUGUUUUUUCAACGUUGCUUAUUACUGGGAAAACUAUUUUAAAAGAAUACAAAUCACCUAUAAUUUCACUUUUAGAAUGAGCUUUUUAAGUUCCCUUUACAUUCAAUGAUAGCAGACCUUGCCCUUUAGACAAACACACUCACCCACCCAGGGAUCAUUUUCACUUCUCCUUUUAAAGUCUGCUACCUGAUUAUAUGGCCUCUGAAAUUCAAAUAUGCUUCAAACAAUUUUGUAAUUCAGUUAUGGCACACCUGUUUCUCCCACAUUUGAAGAUACAGAAUGAUACGGCUUUUAAAAAUAGGGUUACAUUUUAUAGGUGGUACUAGCUUAGUAGAUAAUUGUAAAUUCUAGAGCAGUGUGUAAAACUAUCCUUGUGGACAUUCAGAAAAAUUCUCUCAGUGAGCUAUACAUCCGGUUGCAUUAUAUGGACAAGGUUCAAAGUAAAGGGUAAGAGAAAGCCCCCCAGGUGGCAUAAACAGUUGUAUUUGACUGCUAAAGAUCAAUGGUUCAAACCCAUCCAGUGGUACCAGGCAAGAUAGGCCUGGUGAUCUGCUUCCAUGAAGAUUACAGCCAAGAAAAUCCUAUGGAGCAGCUCUACUCUGUAACACACGGGGUUACCAUGAGUCCACAUUGACUUGAUGGCAACUAACAAUAACAACAAGUGCUUCCUCCCUGGAAGAGAGAGCAAGAAACAAGAAGCAUAGAGGAAGGGAAAGCUCUCAACCUGGCAGAGUGGGUGGUGCUAGGCAGGGCAGCCUCCUGGAGGUGCCAGGGAAGGGACUUUGGGUCACAGUCAUACGGUCUGAGGAGCACUAACCACAAACCACUCUAAAUGUCAUCUCUGAGGUGGCGUUAUGUCAACCACCCCACACCUGCCACUGGCUUCGGUUUUGUUUUUCUUUUUUUUUUUUUUUU